CCUCUCCCCCCACCACAAAACAAAACUCAUUCUCUCCCUUCGGUCUAUAUAAAAUGCUCAAUUGUCAAAUCCUCACCACAUCUCGUCUCUAGCAUCUGUCUGACUUUCGAAAGAACGAAUAUCAAAAAGAAAACCAAAGCCAAAGACAGGAACAGAAAUUAAAAUCCAAAAUUAGAUUGUUUUCUCUUUUAUUUACUGCCAAUUACUGUUUGGGAAUUUCAAGCUUAUGGUGUCCGUGAACCCUACCCCGAUUCAAGGGUUUUACUUUUUCGAUCCCAUGAAUAUGGGUCUUCCUGGUCUUAAUUCUAUGCCGCCUGCCAAUACGGUGGCGUCGCCUCAUCCUCCUCCUGCUGUUUCCUCCAUGUCCACGUCCUGUGCUGGUAAUACGAUGGCCUAUUCGGAGGAUCCCAAUAAGAAGAUCCGGAAGCCUUACACUAUUACCAAGUCUAGAGAGAGCUGGACUGAGCAGGAGCACGAUAAGUUUCUAGAAGCUCUUCAAUUAUUUGAUCGUGAUUGGAAGAAGAUUGAAGCAUUUGUUGGGUCGAAGACAGUGAUCCAGAUCCGUAGCCAUGCACAGAAGUAUUUCCUAAAGGUUCAGAAAAAUGGGACAAGCGAACAUGUACCUCCCCCUCGACCAAAAAGGAAAGCAGCUCAUCCAUACCCACAAAAGGCUCCCAAAAAUGCUUCUGUUGUACCCCAAGUUGCUGGACCAUUUCAGUCUUCAUCUGCCUUGCUUGAAUCUGGUUAUACGUACGGAAUAGAUUCAUCAUCAAUGCUUGGAAAUCCUGUUCCCACUGCAGCUUUGUCUUCUUGGGGUUACAACUCUGCACCGCCUGUCUCUGUACCUCAAGUGACUAAAGAUGAAGCAGUAUUGGCUGGGCCAACUAUUGUGCAUAAUUCUUGUUACAGUAGCAGUAAUGAAAGCACUCCCAGAACUUGGUCAUUUGGUGAAACAAUUGACCAAGGAGAUCACGGGAAGCAAUCUAGAGUUAUGCCAGAUUUUGCUCAGGUGUACGGAUUCAUUGGCAGUAUAUUUGACCCCAGUGCAAGUGGGCACUUGCAGAAGUUGAAGCAGAUGGACCCAAUAAAUUUGGAAACUGUGGUGUUGUUGAUGAGAAAUCUCUCUGUCAAUUUGACAAGCCCUGAGUUUGAGGAUCAUAGAAGGUUGCUUUCAACAUAUGAGGCAGAGUCUGAGUGUGUUAAACUUGGUAGUUCGUACAAUGACAUUCACACUCAUAAAUCAGCUAGUGCUGUUCCAACAGCAUAAUAGAGCUGAAGGGCUGUAAUAUUAAAUCUGGCCUUCCAAUGUUCGAAUUCAAGGUUUUACUUUUGCAGACAGGAAUUUCACAUGGUCUAAUUUCAUGUUUUAUAAUCAUUAGUCGGAGAAUUCAGAUCAUAGCUAAACUGAUUAGUUUCAAGUUCAAAAUUAUCAUGGUGGAGUCCAGCCAAAUGGUAACAGACUCGAGCUUCCCCAUGAUUUGUGAAAAGGUGUUGGACUCUUUUAAAGAAAUUGAUCACUGGUUAGAUUCAAGCGAUAGGGUACGUGAAAGUACCAACUGGUUUCUUGUAUUCUGUCUGGGUUUUUCUUUCUCAAAAGUAUAUUAUAAUGUAAAUAACAGGCAUCAUUUCUUCUUAGAUACAAUAACUCUAAAAGGGGUUACAAAUUGGGAAGUAGGCUUCAAUUCAAACUAGGCCAAGUGCUUGAAGAUAAUAGGAUCAUUUUUGUCUCUUGCCAGAAAUUAUCUGGUGACCAAAUUCUUCAGUCCGCUUCUUGUUUGUCUUUAUAUCAGACUUUAACACGUGAUUCAAUUGCUCAACAAACAAUGUUAUUUAAGUGUUGGUAUCCCAAAAGUUCCGCACUCUUCCCAAACAAGUGAUUUAUUGUUUACCCUUUGGCCCCUUCAACGUUAAGAGAAAAAAAAAAAGGGCAAUUGCAACCAAAAGCCAGUUUCAUG